rnacentral:tRNA from 1 species
AAAGGGAGACCUAAUUCGGGUAUAAGACGAAAAAAUAGUAGUCGAAACCAAGAAUCAAUCCCAAAAGGUCGGAACGAGGUAUGUGGCUUUCAAACUAGGUUCUGGGUUCAUAAAAGACCUGAAUCAGGAACAAGGGCUAUUAGCUCAGGUGGUUAGAGCGCACCCCUGAUAAGGGUGAGGUCCCUGGUUCGAGUCCAGGAUGGCCCACCUGCACAGGUGGCAAAAACAAGAGAAGCGAGGAAUCAGCACCUUAUCCUAAUUUAUAUAUAGGAGAGGAUGCUGGCUCUGAGUAAAGAGUCCAGAGGAACCUUGAAAACUGCAUAGAGCUAGGUGAAAAAGCCAAAAAAGAAGACCGCAAG